rnacentral:rRNA from 1 species
AUUGAACGCUGGCGGCGGGCCUAACACAUGCAAGUCGAACGGUAACAGGAAGAAGCUUGCUUCUUUGCUGACGAGUGGCGGACGGGUGAGUAAUGUCUGGGAAACUGCCUGAUGGAGGGGGAUAACUACUGGAAACGGUAGCUAAUACCGCAUAACGUCGCAAGACCAAAGAGGGGGACCUUCGGGCCUCUUGCCAUCGGAUGUGCCCAGAUGGGAUUAGCUAGUAGGUGGGGUAACGGCUCACCUAGGCGACGAUCCCUAGCUGGUCUGAGAGGAUGACCAGCCACACUGGAACUGAGACACGGUCCAGACUCCUACGGGAGGCAGCAGUGGGGAAUAUUGCACAAUGGGCGCAAGCCUGAUGCAGCCAUGCCGCGUGUAUGAAGAAGGCCUUCGGGUUGUAAAGUACUUUCAGCGGGGAGGAAGGGAGUAAAGUUAAUACCUUGGCUCAUUGACGUUACCCGCAGAAGAAGCACCGGCUAACUCCGUG